rnacentral:rRNA from 1 species
ACGAACGCUGGCGGCGUGCUUAACACAUGCAAGUCGAACGGAAAGGCCCUGCUUGCAGGGUACUCGAGUGGCGAACGGGUGAGUAACACGUGGGUGAUCUGCCCUGCACUUCGGGAUAAGCCUGGGAAACUGGGUCUAAUACCGGAUAGGAGCCAUUUUUCGUGUGAUGGUUUGAAAGUUUUUUCGGUGUAGGAUGAGCUCGCGGCCUAUCAGCUUGUUGGUGGGGUAAUGGCCUACCAAGGCGGCGACGGGUAGCCGGCCUGAGAGGGUGGACGGCCACAUUGGGACUGAGAUACGGCCCAGACUCCUACGGGAGGCAGCAGUGGGGAAUAUUGCACAAUGGGCGCAAGCCUGAUGCAGCGACGCCGCGUGGGGGAUGACGGCCUUCGGGUUGUAAACUCCUUUCGCUAGGGACGAAGCUUUUUGUGACGGUACCUAGAUAAGAAGCACCGGCUAACUACGUG